rnacentral:rRNA from 1 species
GGGCCCGCACAAGCAGUGGAGCAUGUGGUUUAAUUCGAUGCAACGCGAAGAACCUUACCAGGCCUUGACAUCCCCGGAACUUUCUAGAGAUAGAUUGGGUCGCUUCGGGAACCGGGUGACAGGUGCUGCAUGGCUGUCGUCAGCUCGUGUCGUGAGAUGUUGGGUUAAGUCCCGUAACGAGCGCAACCCUUGUCCUUAGUUGCCAGCACAUAAAUGGUGGGAAACUCUAAGGAGACUGCCGGUGACAAACCGGAGAAGGUGGGGACGACGUCAAGUCAUCAUGGCCCUUACGGCCUGGGCUACACACGUGCUACAAUGGCUAGGACAGACGGCUGCAAAACCAGCGAUGGGGAGCUAA